GUUUUAAUGUUGAAGAUUAGUUAUUAAUAAUUAUAAUAAUAAUAGCCAUGAUACACUUUAACACCAUGUGAAUAAAACACAGUUCUGUAAAUGGCAUAAGAGUAAGAUCGUGCUGAGUUUGGUGACUGGAGAUUUGCUGCAAGUUUUAAAUCCUGCAUAAUGAAAUCCAAAGUACUGAUGUAAAGAUUCUCUCAACAUUUGUAGCAACUAUUUGAAUAGCAUUCAUUGUUGGGGGAUAACAUUUUUGAUGCCAAGCAGAACGUUUUUUUUCCCAUAAAAAGUGAUAUAGAAUAGCUUUUAAGUGUAAAAUAUGUCAUUUGUUCAUAAUCCCAGGUUUCAUCAUUGCAGGUUGUGUGGACAUUAGUUGACCUUUUAUUUUGAAGAAAGAACAUCCCUGUUCUACAUACUAUCCAAUACUUGUUAAAUAACAUUAAAUGUGGCACUCGGAGUAAUUUGUUCUAGCAUCGGCUUUUUCAAGACACAUGAUGCAGACCAAUUAGUGACUUGGGACACACAUCUGAAGGCAUUUUGCUGGCUUAUUUGGUAUCUAUCUGAAUUAUCAGACUUGUACGCAGGGAGCUGAGUUUGUUCUUGAGUAAGGAUUGAGAUCAAAGUGACAAUUUUGGGUAACGCACAUACUUUUGUUCUUGUGAUAUUUAAUUCCAAAGGCUUUCAACUUUCUUCAUCAUUCCUUCAGCUUCUACCCACCUAUCCCUUUCCUUUUCUUGGUUGCUAAUAUGUGGAACCUGAUGCUUUUCCCAAUUAACAUUACACUUCUCUAACCUGAACAAUUUUCUACCUUUUACUUAGCUGUGAGGUGAGGCACGUACUAUAUCUCUCAGGCUAUUGCCAACCAAAUGCUUUGCUGACCAGUUCUAAAUUUCAGCUCAUAUGAGGAGUGUUUCCAAACUCGCACACAAGGAAGUACAAUUUUCUGAUGUGGGAUGAUGUAAACAGGGUCUCACAUAGAUGGUGGGUUUCCCAACUUUAUCCCUACCACAGAAAAUAUAGGGCAAAGGCAGAGGAGGAGAGAGGCUCAUCAGAAGGAAGGCUGUUGAAGUCAUGAACUAGAAUAAACAUCACAACUAAGUUGUACUGUGAUUUCCUACAGACUAUAUCUGCUCUCAGAUCAUUGCAGCUAUUUCCUUAUGGGAAGUGGGGAGUAGAAUUUAUUCCAGUAGUUCCAGAAUUAGAUUUCUCAAAGGGAGAAAGGAGUGGGGGGAAACACAAACCACUGUGGUUAUAUUGGAUGCUGAUUUAAUUUACGUUUGUGGUGAUUGGAUUGCAGUAAUUUCCCUUGGGAGCAGCUCCUGAGAUAAUAAUUUCAAAAGAGAAGCUUAGCAAUGGCGAGCUGAGAACUUCCUGAAACAGAAUGGCCUACAGAAAAAAAAUGUCUUUUUAAAGGACGUGAAAUCUUCCAUCAGUUACCAGGAUGGUAACCCAGUGGCUGGGCCAGGUCACUGCCAGGUGCAAGACUUAAGAUUUGGGCUGAAGCAGAGAGCCUCAGAGCACCAGAGGUCUUGGGGUCAGGGGAUUCACACAUUGGUGCUGACUAGAAAGCUUGUGAACAGAGUUGCUGUAACUAUAACAUUUUUCUUUUGGAGAAUACUAAGCUUUUUAACCUAUCACAUGUAUAGUGGGAAUUUUUUCUCCUUAACUGUAUGAGCUGAAGGACAAGGAAGCAAAGUGUCUUUAAUGAAAAAGAUUACAUGUCAUUCUAGUACACAGGGCACAUGCACAAAUUGUGGCUACCAGGAAUCCCAAAACACAGUCUCUUCCUUUAAUGUUGCUUCCCAUUAGAUUUUUAUGGGAAAAUAGCUGGAGAGUUUGGUACCAAUGUUGAGUGAAAUAAAUGAAUUUCCGAUUCAAAGCCAAUGAAUGUGGAAGGCCCUGCAGCAAAUCCUACUGUGUACCCUUAAAUUCUUUUUUAGGAAAACAAGCUCUAUUCUUUGGUAUGUACUAGCUCACAGUAGAGAUGCGGUAAAAAAUGAAAACCACUUUUCAAACACAUGUAUUGCAUUAAGGUAGUUCAGCCAAAAGGUAACAAGGCUAUGAAUUACCAAGAUGAGGUCAUCAUCCUAGCCAUUUGAGCAUAUUAGAAAGCACCACCCUGAGAUGUUUCUCUUGAAAGCUUUGUACAGAAACCAGUCCAACAGAUCUCUAAAGCUGAGCUGACCACCAGUGUUGUGAACUGGUUCUCUAUUUUCAGAAAUACUGCCUCUAUCCUGUCUGCAUUCAGCUACCACCUCUUCCUCACCCAAGUACUCUGGCUAUAUUUGUGGUUGUGUCUUGUUGGGUAUGUCGAUGCUGUCUGACUAGUCCACAUAGACAUUAUACAUAGGUGGCUAAAGGAAAGACAAUGGAUCCUUUCUUCUCCCUCAGUCCCACAAAUCAGUAGUAAAGUGUGGGAAGCUGCAUGCUUGGAAGCAUCCUUUGGGGAAGAAAUAUUUUUUCUCUCUUAUGUGAGACAGCAGCAUAUCAUGCUCAGCAGGGCUGAAUGUUGCAGAGGUCCAGGAGAAUGAGGGUAGCUAUCCACUGCUUAAGCCAUGAAAAGAAGAGCUUAUCCUUCAUUAUCGCAAAGGAUUUUUUUUUUUUUUCUUUUUUCAAUUACAUAUCCUGGUCUAAAUCCAGAUUGUGCCUAACCUAGAAGGUUACCUUCAAUUAGAUAUAUUUGUCAAGAUUUUCUGCAGGUUUCCUUCAGGAAAGAGAAUCUGGAUAUGGUAGGUUUGGCUAGGACUGUUGCAUCUAGGCCAGGCUUUCAGAUCAAGCCAGAUCAGCCUAUAUUUAGAAGAUGCAAGGAAGAAUCCUCCUGCCAAUGGUGCCAGCCUGUCUUGAUCCAGUACCCAGCAUUUGUCAUUUUUUUACAAGCAAGAGAGACUUCCGCAAGCCUAAUAAUAAGACUCCAUUAAAAUAACUGAAACUUC